GAUGAAGAACGCAGUGAAAUGCGAUAAGUAAUGUGAAUUGCAGAAUUCAGUGAAUCAUCGAAUCUUUGAACGCACAUUGCGCCCCUUGGUAUUCCGAGGGGCAUGCCUGUUCGAGCGUCAUUAUAACCCUCAAGCUCAGCUUGGUGUUGGGGCCUGCUGCACUGGCAGCCCUUAAAAUCAGUGGCGGCGCCAUCUGGCUCUAAGCGUAGUAAUUCUUCUCGCUAUGGAGUCCUGGUGGAUGCUUGCCAUCAACCCCCAAUUUUUCUAUGGUUGACCUCGGAUCAGGUAGGGAUACCCGCUGAACUUAAGCAUAUCAAUAAGCGGAGGA
rnacentral:misc_RNA from 1 species